rnacentral:rRNA from 1 species
UGGUGGAGUGAUUUGUCUGGUUAAUUCCGAUAACGAACGAGACCCCGUCCUACUUACUAGACCGAGGAUCCUCUCGUUCUCGCUGUCUUCUUAGAGGGACAACUGCUAUACCUUGAACUACAUGAAAUGGGGCAAUAACA